rnacentral:rRNA from 1 species
UACAGAGGGUGCAAGCGUUAAUCGGAAUUACUGGGCGUAAAGCGCUCGUAGGUGGUUUGGUAAGUUGGAUGUGAAAGCCCCGGGCUCAACCUGGGAAUUGCAUUUAAUACUGCUGAACUAGAGUAUGAUAGAGGAUAGUGGAAUUUCCGGUGUAGCGGUGAAAUGCGUAGAUAUCGGAAGGAACAUCAGUGGCGAAGGCGACUAUCUGGAUUAAUACUGACACUGAGGAGCGAAAGCGUGGGGAUCAAACAGG